rnacentral:rRNA from 1 species
AACGAACGCUGGCGGCAUGCCUAACACAUGCAAGUCGAACGAGACCUUCGGGUCUAGUGGCGCACGGGUGCGUAACGCGUGGGAACCUGCCCUUAGGUUCGGAAUAACUCCCCGAAAGGGGUGCUAAUACCGGAUAAUGUCUUCGGACCAAAGAUUUAUCGCCUUUGGAUGGGCCCGCGUUGGAUUAGCUAGUUGGUAGGGUAAAAGCCUACCAAGGCGACGAUCCAUAGCUGGUCUGAGAGGAUGAUCAGCCACACUGGGACUGAGACACGGCCCAGACUCCUACGGGAGGCAGCAGUGGGGAAUAUUGGACAAUGGGCGAAAGCCUGAUCCAGCAAUGCCGCGUGAGUGAUGAAGGCCUUAGGGUUGUAAAGCUGUUUUACCCGGGAUGAUAAUGACAGUACCGGGAGAAUAAGCGCCGGCUAACUCCGUG